CUCUGUAAAUUCUUUUUCGCAUAUGCUAGACAGAUGUAAAGAACAGUCUGCAUCAUUCCAAAGGCCUCUGAUGCUGUUAUUAGUUUCCAUACAAUCUUCAUUUGCUGAACUAUCGUUUGGUUCACCAGGGUACCAAAAUGUUGGCUCUAUAUUACCAUAUGUUGAUGCCCAGCGCCAGUCGGAUUCAACAACAUCAUCUAUCCCAUCUAGCCAAUACUGCCCUUUUCAAU
rnacentral:lncRNA from 1 species